rfam:Ovis aries breed Texel chromosome 1, whole genome shotgun sequence.
UCCCUGGUGGCUCAGAUGGUAAAGAAUCUGCUUGCCAUGCAGGAGACCCAGGUUCAAUCCCUGGGUCGGGAA